CCGAACUGGAAUUUGGCACAAGACCAGCACAAAACAUCAUCUGAAAUGGCUGCUUCCAGUGGUUGGCCUUAUAUACUGCGUAACAUUAGCCUUGUGGCUCCAGCUCUAAAUUAAAGAAGCGAAAAUUGACCAAGCAUGUCUUGGCUAACGGACUAUCUGGGGACUGAAGAUGGACAUCCAUGGGUUCUAAAGUUCUGCAGUGUGAGAGAUCUGUAGCAGCAGGGGACAAAGCACUUACCUGGAUCAUACAUUCAAACUGGUACAUGC